CAGAAAAGUUACCACAGGGAUAA
rnacentral:ncRNA from 3 species